AUGGAGCAACUAAGAAAUGUGAAAACAUUGCUGGAGCCGGUGGCUGCUAUAUGUGAUGGCAUGGGGUUAUCAGAUAGAGAGCUGGCAGGUGAUUCUGCAGGUUCAGCUACAGCACACAAGCAGCAUUUUGGCCCAACAAAUCAGGUGCAAAGUGCCUCACAAUGUUCAUAUAGCUUUGCAGCGCCAUCAAGGAAGAGACCAGCUGGGUGCCCCACGACAAGCCACGACAAAGCACCAUACGAACAGCCAGCUAAGAGAAAUAGGUUCUGUUCAAUCUGUCGGGGCCAAGGGCACAAGAGCACAACAUGUCCGCAACGCGGUGAUCUUCCAAAGGCUCCAAGGGAGUCACCUCGUUGCUCCAGGUGCAGCCUGACAGGCCACAGAAGGAACACCUGCACCAACACGCCCAAGGCAGACUUCUAUGGUUGA
rnacentral:rRNA from 1 species